AGCGAACGCUGGCGGCAGGCCUAACACAUGCAAGUCGAACGGAUCCUUCGGGAUUAGUGGCGGACGGGUGAGUAACACGUGGGAACGUGCCCUUUGGUUCGGAACAACUCAGGGAAGCUUGAGCUAAUACCGGAUGUGCCCUUCGGGGGAAAGAUUUAUCGCCAUUGGAGCGGCCCGCGUCUGAUUAGCUAGUUGGUGGGGUAAAGGCCCACCAAGGCGACGAUCAGUAGCUGGUCUGAGAGGAUGAUCAGCCACAUUGGGACUGAGACACGGCCCAAACUCCUACGGGAGGCAGCAGUGGGGAAUCUUGCGCAAUGGGCGAAAGCCUGACGCAGCCAUGCCGCGUGAAUGAUGAAGGUCUUAGGAUUGUAAAAUUCUUUCACCGGGGACGAUAAUGACGGUACCCGGAGAAGAAGCCCCGGCUAACUUCGUGCCAGCAGCCGCCGUAAUAC
rnacentral:rRNA from 1 species